rnacentral:rRNA from 1 species
GGAGGGUGCGAGCGUUGUCGGAUUUAUUGGGUUUAAAGGGUGCGUAAGCGGCCGUUUAAGUCUGGGGUGAAAGCCCGCUGCUCAACAGCGGAACUGCCCUGGAUACUGGAUGGCUUGAGGUACAGACGAGGUUGGCGGAAUGGACUGAGUAGCGGUGAAAUGCAUAGAUACAGUCCAGAACCCCGAUUGCGAAGGCAGCUGACUAGGCUGUUACUGACGCUGAGGCACGAAAGCGUGGGGAGCGAACAGGAUUAGAUACCCUGGUAGUCAAGGGCG